AUUGAACGCUGGCGGCAUGCCUUACACAUGCAAGUCGAACGGCAGCGGACCUUCGGGUGCCGGCGAGUGGCGAACGGGUGAGUAAUAUAUCGGAACGUACCUUUCAGUGGGGGAUAACGUAGCGAAGGUUACGCUAAUACCGCAUAUUCUGUGAGCAGGAAAGCAGGGGAUCGCAAGACCUUGCGCUGAUUGAGCGGCCGAUAUCAGAUUAGCUAGUUGGUGAGGUAAAGGCUCACCAAGGCGACGAUCUGUAGCGGGUCUGAGAGGAUGAUCCGCCACACUGGAACUGAGACACGGUCCAGACUCCUACGGGAGGCAGCAGUGGGGAAUUUUGGACAAUGGGCGCAAGCCUGAUCCAGCCAUGCCGCGUGAGUGAAGAAGGCCUUCGGGUUGUAAGGUACUCUUUCGGUCCGGGAACGGAAAGUACGACACAGGUUAAGUACCCUACGUGUGGAUGACGGUACCGGAA
rnacentral:rRNA from 1 species